UGAAUCAAUGAUGACUGCUGGUAGAAUAGGAGUUAGUAUGAUGAAUGCAUUUACAUAUUAUGAGGUUUAA